rnacentral:rRNA from 1 species
AACGAACGCUGGCGGCAUGCCUAACACAUGCAAGUCGAACGAGACCUUCGGGUCUAGUGGCGCACGGGUGCGUAACGCGUGGGAACCUGCCCUUAGGUUCGGAAUAACUCCCCGAAAGGGGUGCUAAUACCGGAUAAUGUCUUCGGACCAAAGAUUUAUCGCCUUUGGAUGGGCCCGCGUUGGAUUAGCUAGUUGGUAGGGUAAAAGCCUACCAAGGCGACGAUCCAUAGCUGGUCUGAGAGGAUGAUCAGCCACACUGGGACUGAGACACGGCCCAGACUCCUACGGGAGGCAGCAGUGGGGAAUAUUGGACAAGGGGCGAAAGCCUGAUCAAGCAAUGCCGCGUGAGUGAUGAAGGCCGUAGGGUUGUAAAGCUCUUUUACCCGGGAUGAUAAUGACAGUACCGGGAGAAUAAGCUCCGGCUAACUCCGUG